UUCCAGGGUCAGAAAGGCGAACCUGGUGAUAUCCCUUACGUCGUGGGGCCAGUAGGUCAACCCGGACCAAUGGGUCCUCCCGGAGCUCAUGGGAACAGAGGAUACACUGGUUUCAAGGGCAGAAAAGGUUUACAGGGCCCAGCUGGCAUCGAUGGGGAACCAGGAGUCCCAGGGAACCCUGGUGAGCCAGGAUCCCCCGGCCAGCCCUCA